rnacentral:rRNA from 1 species
AUACGGAGGGUGCAAGCGUUAUUCGGAAUCACUGGGCGUAAAGGACGCGUAGGCGGGUUGGCAAGUCAGAUGUGAAAUCCUACAGCUUAACUGUAGAACUGCAUUUGAAACUGCUAACCUAGAGUAUGGGAGGGGGAGAUGGAAUUAGUGGUGUAGGGGUAAAAUCCGUAGAUAUCACUAGGAAUACCGAAAGCGAAGGCGAUUUCCUGGAACAUAACUGACGCUAAGGCGUGAAAGCGUGGGGAGCAAACAGGAGUAGAAACCCUAGUAGUCC